GUGCUGACAGCAUAUGGCAACAUGCUCGAUUGUGUGUCAAGAAUUCAGCAUAGCAAGUUUGUAUGAAGGUCUGGUUAUUAAAUGGGUAGAUAGUUCAAUAGUAAUAUCCUCUAAAACGCUCUGGUGACAAACUUUGCUGCCCUGUUUCCAAUUGUCCACAUGUAGGGGAGAACCUAUUCAAGUAGCUAGCUAACAGCCUUGGAGGCGGGUGAAAGGACAGCAGCCCCAACUGUCAAAGUGAGUCGGCUAUUCUGGAUACAGCAGAUAGCUUGUAACUGGAGAUUCCUCUAAACGAUUGCCUACAGUUAAUUUGUAGGGCACUGCAAGGUUGUGUGACCAGGGCCAUCUGGGACUGCCUCCUGGAGGAAUUCAGGUGUAUGAAGGCUACCUGUGUUCUGCAUAACUUCAUGAGGAUGGACCAGGAGGGGAUCUGCAGCUCGCCUCCGUGUGCCAGAGAAGAAGUCUGCUGCUCUGCAGGAUGUUUCAAGGAUGGGGUCCAACAAUGCAGCAAGAGAGGCAAUCUGUGUGCGGGAGAUCUUCACCUACUUCUUCGAAGAGGGUGCUGUUCCCUGGCAACACCAGACUACACUAUGCAUAACCAAAGGCUCUUUUAUUAAGAGCCAUUCACAUUGCAAUAAAAGUAUUCUUCCAUUUGCUUAGCUAUGUCAACUGCAGUUGAGGGUGCUGUUUAGGUUAUAUCAGCUGUGUCGGUGAACCCCUCCCGCAUCUGAACUGGCUACAUAGAGGGCUCAGCAUGAUCAGAGAUGUUUUGAUGAGAGGAUGCCAACCCCCAGUCCCAUCAUUGCCACCUCACUCGCUCUUAAGAUAACCUUCGGGCCGACUCGAGACACUUAUGUAAUUGUGAUGAACUGAGAGAAUAUUUGGGUAGCACUGAUUCAUUAAUCAUAUGCUGCCUUCUCUGCUCCUAUGUUCUUACCUCUUUCCCUUAGUCUUUUACACCUCUCGCCGCCUCCUCUUUUCUCUGUUUUUAUAAUGCACUGAAGUACAGAUUUCACUUGUAUUUAUAAUCUUACAAUUAUAAUAUUUAUAAUGUAUGUAUUUAUAACACUUGGAUAAUAAACUCCUUUCAAUAAAGUAUUUCACAUUC